GCAUGUUGUUAAAGCAAAAGAGGAUGGAAAGAACACACAGGGACUGGUACAAUUAUGCUCACUGCCACAGUGACAAGAGUGCCAUUCAUGGCUUCUGGAAGGAUUGUUGGUCUAUCCAAACACAGUUUGUUAACAGACAACAUACUUUGUAUGAUUUCAAUCCUAUUAAAAAUAUUGAGGCUUUUGAGGGCCAACAAACACAUGAAAAGAUGCUCAACAUCACUAAUCAUCAGAGAAAUGCAAGUCAAAGCCACAAUGAGGUAUCACCUCACACCCAUCAGAAUGGCCAUCAUCACAAAAUCUGGAAACAACAAAUGUUGGAGAGGGUGUGGAGAAAAGGGAACUCUCCUGCACUGUUGGUGGGACUGUAAGUUGGUACAGCCACUAUGGAAAACAGUUUGGAGGUUCCUUAAAAAACUACAAAUAGAACUACCGUAUGAUCCAGUAAUCCCACUACUGGGCAUAUACCCAAAGAAAAUCAUAAUCCCAAAAGAAACAUGUACCAUAAUGUUCACUGCAGCAUUAUUUACAAUAGCCAGGACAUGGAAGCAACCGAAAUGCCCAUCGACAAAUGAAUGGAUAAAGAAGAUGUGGCAUAUAUAUACAAUGGAAUAUUACUCAGCUAUAAAAAGAGAUGAGAUGGAGCUCUAUGUAAUGAGGUGGAUAGACCUGGAGUCUGUCAUACAGAGUGAAGUAAGUCAGAAAGAGAAAGACAAAUAUUGUAUUGUAACUCACAUAUAUGGAAUCCAAAAACGGUACUGAUGAACUCAGUGACAAGAACAAGGACGCAGAUGCAGAGAAUGGACUGGAGAACUCGAGGUUUGGGAGGGGGCGGGGGGUGAAGGGGAAGCUGAGACAUAUAUAUACUACCAACUGUAAAAUAGAUAGCCAGUGCGAAGUUGUUGUAUAACAAAGGGAGUUCAACUCGAGGAUGGAAGAUGCCUUAGAGGACUGGGGCGGGGAGGGUGGGGGGGAGUCG